rnacentral:rRNA from 1 species
GGUUGUCCCGGUUUAAGCGUGUAGGUGUGUGUUCCAGGUAAAUCCGGUUCACUUUAACACUGAGGCGUGAUGACGAGGCACUACGGUGCUGAAGCAACAAAUGCCCUGCUUCCAGGAAAAGCCUCUAAGCAUCAGGUAACAUCAAAUCGUACCCCAAACCGACACAGGUGGUCAGGUAGAGAAUACCAAGGCGCUUGAGAGAACUCGGGUGAAGGAACUAGGCAAAAUGGUGCCGUAACUUCGGGAGAAGGCACGCUGACACGUAGGUGAAGUGAUUUACUCACGGAGCUGAAGUCAGUCGAAGAUACCAGCUGGCUGCAACUGUUUAUUAAAAACACAGCACUGUGCAAACACGAAAGUGGACGUAUACGGUGUGACGCCUGCCCGGUGCCGGAAGGUUAAUUGAUGGGGUCAGCGCAAGCGAAGCUCCUGAUCGAAGCCCCGGUAAACGGCGGCCGUAACUAUAACGGUCCUAAGGUAGCGAAAUUCCUUGUCGGGUAAGUUCCGACCUGCACGAAUGGCGUAAUGAUGGCCAGGCUGUCUCCACCCGAGACUCAGUGAAAUUGAACUCGCUGUGAAGAUGCAGUGUACCCGCGGCAAGACGGAAAGACCCCGUGAACCUUUACUAUAGCUUGACACUGAACAUUGAGCCUUGAUGUGUAGGAUAGGUGGGAGGCUUUGAAGCGUGGACGCCAGUCUGCGUGGAGCCGACCUUGAAAUACCACCCUUUAAUGUUUGAUGUUCUAACGUGGACCCGUAUCCGGGUUGCGGACAGUGUCUGGUGGGUAGUUUGACUGGGGCGGUCUCCUCCUAAAGAGUAACGGAGGAGCACGAAGGUUGGCUAAUCCUGGUCGGACAUCAGGAGGUUAGUGCAAUGGCAUAAGCCAGCUUGACUGCGAGCGUGACGGCGCGAGCAGGUGCGAAAGCAGGUCAUAGUGAUCCGGUGGUUCUGAAUGGAAGGGCCAUCGCUCAACGGAUAAAAGGUACUCCGGGGAUAACAGGCUGAUACCGCCCAAGAGUUCAUAUCGACGGCGGUGUUUGGCACCUCGAUGUCGGCUCAUCACAUCCUGGGGCUGAAGUAGGUCCCAAGGGUAUGGCUGUUCGCCAUUUAAAGUGGUACGCGAGCUGGGUUUAGAACGUCGUGAGACAGUUCGGUCCCUAUCUGCCGUGGGCGCUGGAGAACUGAGGGGGGCUGCUCCUAGUACGAGAGGACCGGAGUGGACGCAUCACUGGUGUUCGGGUUGUCAUGCCAAUGGCACUGCCCGGUAGCUAAAUGCGGAAGAGAUAAGUGCUGAAAGCAUCUAAGCACGAAACUUGCCCCGAGAUGAGUUCUCCCUGAGACUUAGAGUCUCCUGAAGGAACGUUGAAGACGACGACGUUGAUAGGCCG